UAAUACCGGAUAGGAGCUCCUGCUGCAUGGUGGGGGUUGGAAAGUUUCGGCGGUUGGGGAUGGACUCGCGGCUUAUCAGCUUGUUGGUGGGGUAGUGGCUUACCAAGGCUUUGACGGGUAGCCGGCCUGAGAGGGUGACCGGCCACAUUGGGACUGAGAUACGGCCCAGACUCCUACGGGAGGCAGCAGUGGGGAAUAUUGCACAAUGGGCGGAAGCCUGAUGCAGCAACGCCGCGUGCGGGAUGACGGCCUUCGGGUUGUAAACCGCUUUCGCCUGUGACGAAGCGUGAGUGACGGUAAUGGGUAAAGAAGCACCGGCUAACUACGUGCCAGCAGCCGCGGUGAUACGUAGGGUGCGAGCGUUGUCCGGAUUUAUUGGGCGUAAAGGGCUCGUAGGUGGUUGAUCGCGUCGGAAGUGUAAUCUUGGGGCUUAACCCUGAGCGUGCUUUCGAUACGGGUUGACUUGAGGAAGGUAGGGGAGAAUGGAAUUCCUGGUGGAGCGGUGGAAUGCGCAGAUAUCAGGAGGAACACCAGUGGCGAAGGCGGUUCUCUGGGCCUUUCCUGACGCUGAGGAGCGAAAGCGUGGGGAGCGAACAGGCUUAGAUACCCAGGUAGUCCACGCUGUAAACGGUGGGUACUAGGUGUGGGGUCCAUUCCACGGGUUCCGUGCCGUAGCUAACGCUUUAAGUACCCCGCCUGGGGAG
rnacentral:rRNA from 1 species